AAGGUUAAGCCUCACGGUUCAUUAGUACCGGUUAGCUCAACGCAUCGCUGCGCUUACACACCCGGCCUAUCAACGUCGUCGUCUUCAACGUUCCUUCAGGACCCUUAAAGGGUCAGGGAGAACUCAUCUCGGGGCAAGUUUCGUGCUUAGAUGCUUUCAGCACUUAUCUCUUCCGCAUUUAGCUACCGGGCAGUGCCAUUGGCAUGACAACCCGAACACCAGUGAUGCGUCCACUCCGGUCCUCUCGUACUAGGAGCAGCCCCCCUCAGUUCUCCAGCGCCCACGGCAGAUAGGGACCGAACUGUCUCACGACGUUCUAAACCCAGCUCGCGUACCACUUUAAAUGGCGAACAGCCAUACCCUUGGGACCUACUUCAGCCCUAGGAUGUGAUGAGCCGACAUCGAGGUGCCAAACACCGCCGUCGAUAUGAACUCUUGGGCGGUAUCAGCCUGUUAUCCCCGGAGUACCUUUUAUCCGUUGAGCGAUGGCCCUUCCAUUCAGAACCACCGGAUCACUAUGACCUGCUUUCGCACCUGCUCGCGCCGUCACGCUCGCAGUCAAGCUGGCUUAUGCCAUUGCACUAACCUCCUGAUGUCCGACCAGGAUUAGCCAACCUUCGUGCUCCUCCGUUACUCUUUAGGAGGAGACCGCCCCAGUCAAACUACCCACCAGACACUGUCCGCAACCCGGAUCACGGGUCCACGUUAGAACAUCAAACAUUAAAGGGUGGUAUUUCAAGGUCGGCUCCAUGCAGACUGGCGUCCACACUUCAAAGCCUCCCACCUAUCCUACACAUCAAGGCUCAAUGUUCAGUGUCAAGCUAUAGUAAAGGUUCACGGGGUCUUUCCGUCUUGCCGCGGGUACACUGCAUCUUCACAGCGAGUUCAAUUUCACUGAGUCUCGGGUGGAGACAGCCUGGCCAUCAUUACGCCAUUCGUGCAGGUCGGAACUUACCCGACAAGGAAUUUCGCUACCUUAGGACCGUUAUAGUUACGGCCGCCGUUUACCGGGGCUUCGAUCAAGAGCUUCGCUUGCGCUAACCCCAUCAAUUAACCUUCCGGCACCGGGCAGGCGUCACACCGUAUACGUCCACUUUCGUGUUUGCACAGUGCUGUGUUUUUAAUAAACAGUUGCAGCCAGCUGGUAUCUUCGACUGAUUUCAGCUCCACGAGCAAGUCGCUUCACCUACGUAUCAGCGUGCCUUCUCCCGAAGUUACGGCACCAUUUUGCCUAGUUCCUUCACCCGAGUUCUCUCAAGCGCCUUGGUAUUCUCUACCUGACCACCUGUGUCGGUUUGGGGUACGAUUUGAUGUUACCUGAUGCUUAGAGGCUUUUCCUGGAAGCAGGGCAUUUGUUGCUUCAGCACCGUAGUGCCUCGUCAUCACGCCUCGGCCUUGAUUUUCCGGAUUUGCCUGGAAAACCAGCCUACACGCUUAAACCGGGACAACCGUCGCCCGGCCAACAUAGCCUUCUCCGUCCCCCCUUCGCAGUAACACCAAGUACAGGAAUAUUAACCUGUUUCCCAUCGACUACGCCUUUCGGCCUCGCCUUAGGGGUCGACUCACCCUGCCCCGAUUAACGUUGGACAGGAACCCUUGGUCUUCCGGCGAGCGGGCUUUUCACCCGCUUUAUCGUUACUUAUGUCAGCAUUCGCACUUCUGAUACCUCCAGCAUACCUCACAGCACACCUUCACAGGCUUACAGAACGCUCCCCUACCCAACAACGCAUAAGCGUCGCUGCCGCAGCUUCGGUGCAUGGUUUAGCCCCGUUACAUCUUCCGCGCAGGCCGACUCGACCAGUGAGCUAUUACGCUUUCUUUAAAUGAUGGCUGCUUCUAAGCCAACAUCCUGGCUGUCUGGGCCUUCCCACAUCGUUUCCCACUUAACCAUGACUUUGGGACCUUAGCUGGCGGUCUGGGUUGUUUCCCUCUUCACGACGGACGUUAGCACCCGCCGUGUGUCUCCCGUGAUAACAUUCUCCGGUAUUCGCAGUUUGCAUCGGGUUGGUAAGUCGGGAUGACCCCCUUGCCGAAACAGUGCUCUACCCCCGGAGAUGAAUUCACGAGGCGCUACCUAAAUAGCUUUCGGGGAGAACCAGCUAUCUCCCGGUUUGAUUGGCCUUUCACCCCCAGCCACAAGUCAUCCGCUAAUUUUUCAACAUUAGUCGGUUCGGUCCUCCAGUUAGUGUUACCCAACCUUCAACCUGCCCAUGGCUAGAUCACCGGGUUUCGGGUCUAUACCCUGCAACUUAACGCCCAGUUAAGACUCGGUUUCCCUUCGGCUCCCCUAUUCGGUUAACCUUGCUACAGAAUAUAAGUCGCUGACCCAUUAUACAAAAGGUACGCAGUCACACGCCUAAGCGUGCUCCCACUGCUUGUACGUACACGGUUUCAGGUUCUUUUUCACUCCCCUCGCCGGGGUUCUUUUCGCCUUUCCCUCACGGUACUGGUUCACUAUCGGUCAGUCAGGAGUAUUUAGCCUUGGAGGAUGGUCCCCCCAUAUUCAGACAGGAUACCACGUGUCCCGCCCUACUCAUCGAGCUCACAGUAUGUGCAUUUUUGUGUACGGGGCUGUCACCCUGUAUCGCACGCCUUUCCAGACGCUUCCACUAACACACACACUGAUUCAGGCUCUGGGCUGCUCCCCGUUCGCUCGCCGCUACUGGGGGAAUCUCGGUUGAUUUCUUUUCCUCGGGGUACUUAGAUGUUUCAGUUCCCCCGGUUCGCCUCAUUAACCUAUGGAUUCAGUUAAUGAUAGUGUGACGAAUCACACUGGGUUUCCCCAUUCGGAAAUCGCCGGUUAUAACGGUUCAUAUCACCUUACCGACGCUUAUCGCAGAUUAGCACGUCCUUCAUCGCCUCUGACUGCCAAGGCAUCCACCGUGUACGCUUAGUCGCUUAA
rnacentral:rRNA from 1 species